AGUUGCGCCUGGCGCAACUUCGAAUCUUAGUGAAUUUGCCCCACAGCGUUUGCUUUAGUUACCAAAUCCCAGAAUGAAAACUUUGUAGUCCUGGGCUGCCAAGUGUAUUUUGAAAUAUAAAAACCCGCAUUUUGUUGGGCACUUAUUUCCUUUGGGCAGAUAUUAAACACUAAACAGGCAAAUGGAGCUUUGCUUUACAUAGAAAACCCUUUUCUCUGUCUUCGCAUAGGAGCAAUUUGUUUUUAUUCAUCAGUGUGUGCAGCUGAUGUGGAAAAAGAGGCAGCAGUUCCGCAUUAGUGAUGUUAUUUAUGAAAAUGUCAGCAAGUCAUAAGGUUCAUCUUCUGUGAAAAUCAUAUUCACGGACUUCAGAAUCUUAACUAUGGCCAUUUCUACACCAACACUGUCCGCUGACUGUGGCUUUCUGAAUCUGAGUUGGUGGAGAAGCCAAGGGAAGGCUUUGCCUUAAAGAACCUCGUAUAUCUUUUGGACUCAAAGAUGUGAGAAGCUGUACAGAUUUUGGAUGACCAGAUCUGAUAAAGAAAUACAAGAAUACCUGGCUUACUGGUCUGAUGAGGAUGAGCUUGAUGGAGUAAACCAAAUUAUUGUAGAAGGAAGAAAGAGUAAGGACAAAAGAGAAAGAGUUCUGAAAUAUAUUCGGAAUUUGAAAUGAUUUAGUAAAAUAAAGUUUUAUUUUACAAUAAAUAAAAUAUUAGUUUCUAA